AGAACGAACGCUGGCGGCGUGGAUAAGACAUGCAAGUCGAACGGGCUUAAUUUUAGAGCAAUCUAGGGUUGAGCCAGUGGCGAACGGGUGCGUAACACGUGAGUCAUCUGCCUGAAAGUGGGGGAUAGCUCGCCGAAAGGCGAAUUAAUACCGCAUGUGGUUGUGAAACCAAAGCCGGGGCAACCUGGCGCUUUUAGAGGAGCUCGCGGCCUAUCAGCUUGUUGGUGAGGUAACAGCUUACCAAGGCAACGACGGGUAGCUGGUCUGAGAGGACGACCAGCCACACUGGAACUGAGACACGGUCCAGACACCUACGGGUGGCAGCAGUCGAGAAUUUUUCUCAAUGGGGGAAACCCUGAAGGAGCGACGCCGCGUGGAGGAUGAAGGCUUUCGGGUUGUAAACUCCUGUCAUUUGGGAACAAGUCUUACGUAACUGCGUGGAGAUUUGAUAGUACCGAAAGAGGAAGAGACGGCUAACUCUGUGCCAGCAGCCGCGGUAA
rnacentral:rRNA from 1 species